CCCUUACGUGGGUUCCAACCUAGCUUUGAUAAAAACAGUGUCAUCUUGGGGUCAACUUCCGGGGUGUCACACACCUUGUUAGGUACCACUGGUCUAGGGCACUAAGGCGGUGUUUGCACCCAGGUUUCAAGGUAGCGGGCAAUAUGGUCCAGCGGAAGCCACUCGGCCGACCUUGGAUGAUGGAGGUCAUCCAGGUCGAACAAGGACUCGCCCAGUGGGUCCAUGAGAGCAGCCCCGCGAGAAUCAGCUCUAGGGUCGCCUCCUGUCAUCCCAGCCGGGGCAGAGGUAGUGGUCAAGACCCAAGUCCCCGGCAUCAUUCUCCGAGCCACUAUCGGACUCAAUUCCAGCCUCCUCGCUAGAUCCAAUUUCUGAGUUGGGUCGCUCUAAGUCUGUGCUCUCGCACAUUUCCAUUGCUGCAGGCGCGGAAAGGUUCUUCUGCGUGCAUUGAGCAUGCUUUCAGGGGCGACCUGAGGUAUACCAGUCAUAGUGUUUCUGGAGGCAGAGACAUGCCUAGAUUUACAGCUAGCCUUUCUUGGUGCGUCCCCAAGGGAAUCCAACUCAGGACGUGGAGUGUGCAUCAAGGGAUCAGUGGCCCCUGCGCCCGAGGGGUGAGCAAACAAUGCUUGGGAUAUAGUCUGGGACAAUGCCGAAGACUUAGAACCCAUAGCGGCCAUAAUGGUGUCGGUCACAGACCGUUGGAGCGCAAAACAUUGCGCGUUUACCCUGCAGGGAUCCCUGCCGAGGGAGGGGAGCCAGUAGUAGAGGGGACAUCUCCCAAUUGUAGGGGAGUAUCCAUCUCCCUAGGGGUUGGGAGGCUUAUAGGCACCUUAGUCUUUUAGGCUAAAAUGAAUAAAAAAAAUAAAAAAAAAUAAAAAAAAAAACCACAUAGGGUAUACUAAAAUGUAUAAUUUUAAAAAGGCCAAUCUCAAUAAGUUAAGGGGAGCAUUACAAUAUAUUGAUUGGCAUAAACUCUUAAGCGAAAAGAACACUGAGGAUAAAUGGAAUAUCUUCCAACAAAUAUUAUAAAGGUACAUUUUGU